UACGGAGGAUGCGAGCGUUAUCCGGAUUUAUUGGGUUUAAAGGGUGCGCAGGCGGAAUGUCAAGUCAGCGGUAAAAUUUCGGGGCUCAACCCCGUCGUGCCGUUGAAACUGGCGUUCUUGAGUGAGCGAGAAGUAUGCGGAAUGCGUGGUGUAGCGGUGAAAUGCUUAGAUAUCAUGAAGAACUCCGAUCGCGAAGGCAAGUGUCCGGGGUGCAACUGACGCUGAGGCUCGAAAGUGCGGGUAUCAAACAGG
rnacentral:rRNA from 1 species